UAGAACUUGCUAGAUGGCUAUGUACAUACACUGUCAUGUAUGAUUAUAUAUAUAUUUUUUAUUUUUUUGUCAUGUAUGAUUAUAUAGUGAUGGCACAUUUCUUGACAUGAAAGGUACAGUUUGACCCUUAAAGGGCACAAAAUGAGGCAUUUAAGAAUGAUCUAAAUUAUUUCAGAAAAUAGAGGAAAUAUUAAAUUUGACUUUUAUGUAGUUAAGAUAGUUUUAAGAUGAAUAAGGUCAAGAAGAACAUGCAUUUACUUGAAUAGCACCUUUCAUGGUAAGCCCUUUAUCUAGUGCAUUUCUUCAAAUAUUAUAUUAUUUUAGGAGGCUUAGAUUCUUAUUCAUUUAUACGUUUAUGCUGAAAUGUCCAGGUUUGUCUUUUGUCAAAGUGCUCAAGUCUAUUGAAUUAUUUGAUUUUUUUUUUCUCGAUGCUAGUUGUAAUCUAGUACAAAUUCAUGCUGCACCAAACCCAUUGAAUAUUCAUUUCAAUAUUAGUACAAUCAUAUCUAUUGAUUGCACCUUUCAUUCUAUUUAACAACAAAAACAAGUGUUCAGAUGUCUAUUGUGAUUUGUUUGAUGCAUGAACCAGCUUGCAUCUUACGUGUUUUAGCAGGAAGUCCUUUUGAAAACUGUCUAUUUGUUAUUUUAAUUUUAAUUAUAAGUUUUCUCCUUCUCUAUACCAAUGAUUUGGAUUUUUUUUCCAUCCAGGAGUCUUUCCAAAAGGCAGGACAAACUCAACUUUUCUAGGAUCUCCACAAUCAACGAUUGGAACCACUGCUACUAGCAGCAGCAGCAGCAGCAGCAUUUCGAUUGAGUUUUACCGUAAUGUCUCCAUUAACACUGGAUCAAGCUGAGCUUCCCCCAAGGAGGACGCUGUUAAAAGAAUGAGCAGCAGCUGAAUGGCCCGGAGCUUUGGAUUUCGACUUCUUUAGUCAAUAUGAACCAGGGAUUUGGCAUUUUUCCUUCAUAAUCCGCAUGUGUAUAUUUGACGGCUCUUGCCUCGAGCCUGCAUUGUGUGCAUUGAACAUGAGCUUGAUGAUCUUGAAUUUCUGAGAAUGGUGAUUGCUAACUGUUCAGUUCUCUGGCAUCCCUGCGUCACGUUGGAUUUUUUAACCAGUUGUCUGAUGAAGGUCAAUUCCUGAUGAAUUUUAUGUUUAUCUAAUUAAUUAUUUAUUUAUUUAGUGUUAAUUGAUGGAAUUUCUUGAAACUUGGAUUAGUAUGCACGUUUAAAAGAGUAGCUGAGUAAGUUUCCAUUUC